rnacentral:rRNA from 1 species
GAUGAACGCUAGCGGCAGGCCUAACACAUGCAAGUCGAGGGGCAGCAUAGAUAGCUUGCUAUCUGAUGGCGACCGGCGCACGGGUGCGUAACGCGUAUACAACCUACCUAUUACUGAGGGAUAGCCCGAAGAAAUUUGGAUUAAUACCUCAUAGAAUUAUAAGAUGGCAUCAUUUAAUAAUUAAAGGUUACGGUAAUAGAUGGGUAUGCGUCCUAUUAGCUAGAUGGUGAGGUAACGGCUCACCAUGGCGACGAUAGGUAGGGGUCCUGAGAGGGAGAUCCCCCACACUGGUACUGAGACACGGACCAGACUCCUACGGGAGCAGCAGUGAGGAAUAUUGGACAAUGGAGCAACUCUGAUCCAGCCAUGCCGCGUGUAGGAAGACGGCCCCU